GUGGGGAAUCUUCCGCAAUGGACGAAAGUCUGACGGAGCGACGCCGCGUGAGUGAAGAAGGUCUUCGGAUCGUAAAACUCUGUUGUUAGAGAAGAACGUGCAUGAUAGUAACUGACCAUGUAAUGACGGUAUCUAACCAGAAAGCCACGGCUAACUACGUGCCAGCAGCCGCGGUAAUACGUAGGUGGCAAGCGUUGUCCGGAUUUAUUGGGCGUAAAGGGAACGCAGGCGGUUUUUUAAGUCUGAUGUGAAAGCCUUCGGCUUAACCGAAGAAUAGCAUUGGAAACUGGAAGACUUGAGUGCAGAAGAGGAGAGUGGAAUUCCAUGUGUAGCGGUGAAAUGCGUAGAUAUGCGGAGGAACACCGAUGGCGAAGGCAAUCCCCUGGGCCUGCACUGACGCUCAUGCACGAAAGCGUGGGGAGCAAACAGGAUUAGAUACCCGGGUAGUCC
rnacentral:rRNA from 1 species